rnacentral:rRNA from 1 species
AAGUCGAGCGGUAACAGAUCUAGCUUGCUAGAUGCUGACGAGCGGCGGACGGGUGAGUAAUGCAUAGGAAUCUGCCCGGUAGUGGGGGAUAACCUGGGGAAACCCAGGCUAAUACCGCAUACGUCCUACGGGAGAAAGGGGGCUUCGGCUCCCGCUAUUGGAUGAGCCUAUGUCGGAUUAGCUAGUUGGUGAGGUAAAGGCUCACCAAGGCAACGAUCCGUAGCUGGUCUGAGAGGAUGAUCAGCCACAUCGGGACUGAGACACGGCCCGAACUCCUACGGGAGGCAGCAGUGGGGAAUAUUGGACAAUGGGGGCAACCCUGAUCCAGCCAUGCCGCGUGUGUGAAGAAGGCCCUCGGGUUGUAAAGCACUUUCAGCGAGGAAGAACGCCUAGCGGUUAAUACCCGUUAGGAAAGACAUCACUCGCAGAAGAAGCACCGGCUAACUCCGUGCCAGCAGCCGCGGUAAUACGGAGGGUGCAAGCGUUAAUCGGAAUUACUGGGCGUAAAGCGCGCGUAGGUGGCUUGAUAAGCCGGUUGUGAAAGCCCCGGGCUCAACCUGGGAACGGCAUCCGGAACUGUCAGGCUAGAGUGCAGGAGAGGAAGGUAGAAUUCCCGGUGUAGCGGUGAAAUGCGUAGAGAUCGGGAGGAAUACCAGUGGCGAAGGCGGCCUUCUGGACUGACACUGACACUGAGGUGCGAAAGCGUGGGUAGCAAACAGGAUUAGAUACCCUGGUAGUCCACGCCGUAAACGAUGUCGACCAGCCGUUGGGUGCCUAGAGCAC